UGUACGAGGUCGCGGUAAAGAAGAAUCGCGAGAGGACGUAGAAAGAAUCGAGAUCCUGGAUCCAUCGGAUUAUAAUAUCGGCGGAGCCGCGGGCGGCGAGGCUUAUAAAAUCUGCUUCGGGUCCCUCCUGGCCUCGGAACGAACGCGACGAUUCCAAGAUUGGGUUUGUAGCUAGCGGGGGAACCGCUUUGGUUUGUUGGCCCGUGGGAACGUAACGCAACGCGUUGGCGGGUUGCCGGGGCAGCUGCACUGAUUGCCGUGAGGACGUGACGUAGCCCCUCCGUAGUUCGAGCGGCGACGACGCGACCCACCGACGAGGCGAAGAGGCGAAGAAGAGAGCUGCGGUAAUCGAGUGGUGGUUGUGCCCGAGAAAUAAGUAAGAGAAGAAGAAGAAGCACAAGAAGAAGAAGAAGAAGAAGAAGAAGAAAAAGACGAGCGAGAUCGCCGCGUCCGAGUCCCGGCAUGGAGCAAGUUCGCCCCGUCUCUUUUCCCGCACCACCUUCUCGCUCCUUUUACCUUUUAUCGUACUUUUAUUUUAUUUUAUUUCACUCUUUUCUUUCUUCUUUUAGCUGCGGGAGGAGCAGAAGAGAGCGGCGGCACCGCUACAGGGAGGAGGGAGAGGCGCAUUCCAGGGAGGCGCCGGCCAGUCUGAGGCACACCUGCGCACCGAGUUGAAUCACGACGGCGCCGCGCGGCACCUACCCACUUCGAGUCGCGUUCGUAGGUGGAGGGGUCGUAUUUGUUCGGGUUCUACGGUCGUUUGCGCUCAUCGCGCUUCGAUACGUACGUGGCUCGGCGGUACCAUUCUAUCCGGCAAACAACGAGCCGUAGCCUUUUCCUCGCCAUCGAGUUUCCUACGAAAGAAAUACGGACAUUCGCGGAACGUGGAGACGAACGAAUACGAGGAUCAAAGGAGAAGAAAUCUCGUCGGAACGUGCAACAGGCUCCCGAAGCUGAAUAAUCGGCUGAGAAUUGUGAAAAUAAUCGCAAUCGAUUCGCCCGCCAUGCCGGAGAUCUCCUUGGCCGAAAACUCGUCCACGAUCCAAAGGUACGUACGUACGUACCUACCUGUUGCGGAGCGGAGAGGUAACGGGGGGGUUGCCGACGUUGGCCGUGCCGCAGUCGCCACAGUCUGACGCGAGGUUUGCUGGUAAAGGGGGAAAAAGGGAAAGGGGAUAUACUGGCGACAGACUGGCGGGCGCGCACCUGCGUUCGCCGCCUCGUCGCGUCGCACCGCACCGCGUACACCGUUCCGAACAACGACGAAGACGAUGGAACGAAGACUGCAAAACUUCCUCCUCUUCCUCCUCCCCCGACUCAUUCUCUGCGGGGACCCUCCCCCCCCCGGUCCCCCCGGUCUCCCGACGACUCCUCGGUUGAUGGAGAUUGUGAUGCGGCGAUUGAUGACCUCUAGAAAAUUGACCCCCGGGAGACGAAGAUGUCGAAGAUGAUCCCGAGGUGCUGCAAUUGUUUGUCGUCAACAUCGGCGUGCCACCACCUUGAAUCGCGAAUGGCCAGGACUGCGAAUGAAAAGAAUUCUGGUACAAAUAUUCGGGUAAACGAGACGGGCUGUAUUAUUAGAAACGGAGUAAUGGAAGAUGAAAAAGAAAUCGUAAUGUACGUAUAACGGAACUGGAUGCAUAGCGUGUCUUUUCAAAACUUCUACGAUGCUGAAAACUAAUGCGGGAUAUAGUCCAACAACGGAACUAUAUCGGAGUUAAUGGGGCGAGGGAGAGACCGCGACGGUGUGAUCCGGUCCACCUGGACGGACGUAAACAGGGAGAGAAAAUGCUCCGCGCGAUGCCUAUGGCUGCCGCACAUUGCGUCUCUGUACGACACCGAUCGGAUCCACCUGGUACCGGCCGCGAUACCCGAAAAGUACGGUGUGAAUGAAAUAACAAGAAAGGAAAAACAAACAACGUAAACAAGAAAUGGGAUGAAAUGAUAUCGGAGCGUUCGCGGCAUUCCUCGGCGCCCUCGCUCCGUCCAUGGAAUCCUGAGCGUUAUCGCGACUGUUGCUCGAACCCCCGUAUUUAUCUUCCGAACAAAAAUCAUCGUCAUCGAUGUCAGGAAGAGACGCCGUUGAAGCCCGACGUUUUCGAGGCAUAGCUUAUUUCCAAUACAGAUUCUGAUUAUCGAAUUCACUUCACUUCAGCCCUCGGAUUUUCACGUACCCGAAACGAAAACUCACGCUGCGGAUUGAUCGCGAAUACCUUGAUUCGCUGCGGAUCUUAUAAGAUGAAUGGAUUUAUCGGGGACGAAAA